GGCUGGUCCGAAGGUAGUGAGUUAGCUCACUUGAUUGUUCACAGUCAGUUACAGCUUGAACUCAUUCUACUACUUCCCUCCUCACUACUGCACUUGACUAGUGAAAA
rnacentral:Y_RNA from 1 species